rnacentral:tRNA from 3 species
GCUGUGGCGCAGUUUGGUAGCGCACCUGCUUUGGGAGCAGGGGGCCGCGGGUUCAAAUCCCGCCAGC